CUCUAAUCGUAUUCAUUAUUAGUAAAAUCUGCUCAAUGACUCUUAAAUAGCCGCAGACCAUCUGUGCUAAGGUAGCAUAAUCAUUUGUCUUUUAAUUCAAGACUAGAAUGAAAGAUAUUAUAUUUUGAUUAUUUUUUUAAUCUUAUUAUUUUUAAUUUAUCUUAAGUAUAAAAAGAUACUUAUUUAAAAGAAAGACGACAAGACCCUAUUGAACUUAACUUUAGUUAAACUGGGGUAGUUAAUUAAAUAUAAUUUUAAUAAUCAUUCAUAUGAAACCUAAUAUAAUUAACAUACAAUCAAGUUACCAUAGGGAUAACAGCGCAAUAAUUUUUUAUAGUUCUCAUUCAUAAAAAAGAUUACGACCUCGAUGUUGAAUAUUAACCUAAUAUAAGUAAAAAUAUAAUUAAAGGAAGUCUGUUCGACUUUUAAAUAUUUACA
rnacentral:rRNA from 1 species